GAGCUGUGAGGAUACAAGCGCAUAAUGAUGGAUUGGAUUUCAUCUCUAACGUCUGAUGUACAGGCGAGAUUGGUGCGCAUCUGAGCUC
rfam:Brassica napus, WGS project CCCW01000000 data, contig: 11226